rnacentral:rRNA from 1 species
AGAAUCAACGCUGGCGGCGCGCUUAACACAUGCAAGUCGCACGAGAAAGGGAGCAAUCCUGAGUAAAGUGGCGUACGGGUGAGUAACACGUGGAUCAUCUACCUUUUAGUGGGGAAUACCCCUGGGAAACUGGGGACAAUACCGCAUAAGCUCGUGAGAGGAAAGCGUCGUUGUCAAAGACGACGCGCUGAAAGAGGAGUCCGCGGCUGAUUAGCUAGUUGGUGAGGUAACGGCCCACCAAGGCGAAGAUCGGUA